rnacentral:lncRNA from 1 species
UUCAGAACAGGAGUGCAUUCAGAAGCAUCCUCCGGCGAGGCUGGGAAGCUGCUCACAUCCCCGGAAAAUUCAGUGGGAGAAAAAGUUUAUGGAAGCGAGUAGGAGUUUAUUCAACAGUGUCUGAGCCCUUUCAGAACCAUGAGUGAGUGUCUAUAAAGGGGCAGUCAAGCAUAGGCUGGGAAUUAUCCCUGUUGGGUGCCUACCUGUGACAGGCCCUCAUGAGCUGCUAAGAGGCUCAUUCAGUGCUCAGGGGACAAUGGCCAGUGGGGACAAACAAUUCGGAGGAGUCUAUCAUUCUGGUGGUGUUAUCUUUAGCACUGAAUAAAACCGGAGUUCCCCCUUUCUGCCUCCUAGUCAGCACUAUUUUUAGGAGCCAGUGGUACUUUUCAACUCUCUUUCACUAUUUUUCAACAGGUUCACAAGGGCACGAAGUGCAGUAUAUAAAAAGAGGAUAAUGACUUGACUUGAGUGCAGGAAAAGGCCCAAUGAACAGAGCAGCCAAGCUUGCCCGGACGAGAAUAGAUGAAAGUUUGGAGAAGAGUCAAGAAGAAAUGGCAUUGUCUGCAUGGCCAACAAUCUGAAUUCCUUGAGAGGUUAAAGCUGAGGGAAGUUCUCUUUGGAAGAAGACGCACCUGCUCUCCAUUCAUUUUCCCUUUACUUAAAGGGGCGCUCAGAGCAGCACUGCUUGUCCCUUGGUGAAGGCACUGAAGAACAGAGCUUGUUGUGUUGCUGCUAACAAAAUGGGCCUUGUACCUCUUCAAGUCCUCCUGCGCACCGAAGGACCCUUACACACGAGUGCCGGAAAGUAACAGAGGUUCAGAAGUUAAUGCAAGUAACAGGUCCCACGUUGCCUUGAAUCAGGUGUCCUGCUUCAGCAGCAGGAAAAUAGGCUCAGACCCUUAAGAUUUUUAGACGUGAGCUGGAACCUGCAUUAUAUUUCCA